rnacentral:rRNA from 1 species
UUACUCCUACGGGAGGCAGCAGUGGGGAAUCUUGCGCAAUGGGCGAAAGCCUGACGCAGCAACGCCGCGUGGGGGAUGAAGGCCUUCGGGUUGUAAACCUCUUUCACCAUCGACGAAGCCCUUUGGGGUGACGGUAGGUGGGGAAGAAGCACCGGCUAACUACGUGCCAGCAGCCGCGGUAAUAA